rfam:Loxodonta africana unplaced genomic scaffold scaffold_23, whole genome shotgun sequence.
GGCGGCUUAGUGGUUAAGAGCUAUGGAUGCUAACCAAAAGGCUGGUAGUUCGAAUCUACCAGCCA